ensembl:snRNA U4 U4 spliceosomal RNA
AGCUUUGCGCAGUGGCAGUAUCAUAGCCAAUGAAGUUUAUCCGAGGCGCGAUUAUUGCUAAUUGAAAACUUUUCCCAGAUUUCACUGGGAGUCUUCUGUUUGUGUUAGAUCUGGCAGCCCCCGAGGGACGGGUGGGGG